rnacentral:rRNA from 1 species
GGUGUAGACCCGAAACCAGGUGAUCUAUCCAUGGUCAGGUUGAAGCGAGAGUAAAAUCUCGUGGAGGACCGAACCACGUUGGUGUUGAAAAACCAUGGGAUGAGCUGUGGAUAGCGGAGAAAUUCCAAUCGAACUCGGAGAUAGCUGGUUCUCCUCGAAAUAGCUUUAGGGCUAGCGUCGUGUAAUUGAGUAAUGGAGGUAGAGCACUGAAUGGGCUAGGGGCUAUAGUAGUUACCGAACCCUAUCAAACUCCGAAUACCUUAUAUGUAAUCACAGCAGUCAGGCGGCGAGUGAUAAAAUCCGUCGUCAAGAGGGAAACAACCCAGACUACCAGCUAAGGUCCCUAAAUCUUACUUAAGUGGAAAACGAUGUGAAGUUACUUAAA